rnacentral:rRNA from 1 species
AUUGAACGCUAGCGGGAUGCUUUACACAUGCAAGUCGAACGAGUGGCGGACGGGUGAGUAAUGUAUCGGAACGUGCCCAGUAGAGGGGGAUAACUACUGGAAAGGGUGGCUAAUAACGCAUACUAUUUGAGCGGCCGAUAUCGGAUUAGCUCGGUGGUGGGGUAAAGGCUCACCAAGGCAACGAUCCGUAGCUGGUCUGAGAGGAUGACAAGCCACACUGGGACUGAGACACGGCCCAGACUCCUACGGGAGGCAGCAGUGGGGAAUUUUGGACAAUGGGGGAAACCCUGAUCCAGCCAUGCCGCGUGUAUGAGAAGGCCUUCAGGUUGUAAAGUACUUUCGGCAGAGAAGCGGUAUCUGCAGAAUAAGCACCGGCUAACUACGUGCCAGCAGCCGCGGUAAUAC